UGGGGAAUAUUGCGCAAUGGGGGGAACCCUGACGCAGCCAUGCCGCGUGAAUGAAGAAGGCCCUCGGGUUGUAAAGUUCUUUCGGUAUUGAGGAAGGUUGAUGUGUUAAUAGUACAUCAAAUUGACGUUAAAUACAGAAGAAGCACCGGCUAACUCCGUGCCAGCAGCCGCGGUAAUACGGAGGGUGCGAGCGUUAAUCGGAAUAACUGGGCGUAAAGGGCACGCAGGCGGUUAUUUAAGUGAGGUGUGAAAGCCCUGGGCUUAACCUGGGAAUUGCAUUUCAGACUGGGUAACUAGAGUACUUUAGGGAGGGGUAGAAUUCCACGUGUAGCGGUGAAAUGCGUAGAGAUGUGGAGGAAUACCGAAGGCGAAGGCAGCCCCUUGGGAAUGUACUGACGCUCAUGUGCGAAAGCGUGGGGAGCAAACAGGAUUAGAUACCCUGGUAGUCCACGCUGUAAACGCUGUCGAUUUGGGGGUUGGGGUUUAACUCUGGCGCCCGUAGCUAACGUGAUAAAUCGACCACCUGGGGAGUACGGCCGCAAGGUUA
rnacentral:rRNA from 1 species